rnacentral:rRNA from 1 species
UACGAAGGGGGCUAGCGUUGUUCGGAUUUACUGGGCGUAAAGCGCACGUAGGCGGAUUUGUUAGUCAGGGGUGAAAUCCCGAGGCUCAACCUCGGAACUGCCUUUGAUACUGCAAAUCUCGAGUCCGGAAGAGGUGAGUGGAAUUCCUAGUGUAGAGGUGAAAUUCGUAGAUAUUAGGAAGAGCACCAGUGGCGGAAGGCGGCUCACUGGUCCGGUACUGACGCUGAGGUGCGAAAGCGUGGGGAGCAAACAGG